UGGGGAAUAGCCAAGCGGUAAGGCAGUGGAUUUUGGUUCCACGAUCGGGGGUCCGAAUCCCUCUUCCCCAA
rnacentral:tRNA from 2 species